AACGCCGAUCGUGUGGCCUAUGAACGAAAAACGGGAGAAGGGGAAACCGAUAUCCUUCGAGUGACACACACGCAUGCAUCUGCAUGCGUAUUCCGCUGAACCGAGACUACCCAUCUCUCUCGAUCUCCCAUGAUUUUUCUGCUAUCGCGCUCAUCCGGGUGUUAGGCAUCCUCAGUCUGUCCAGAACUUUCACUGUGGAAGGAUGUGUUGGAGUGAUGUGUGAUUUCUUGUGCCCCGUACUUUGCUCGUUUACGUUUUGUGCCGUGUUCCUUCUUCUUCAAUUAUGGAAUGAUUUAUCCUUGUAAAUUUCUAAGUUACAGUGCACGCGCAUGUUAAUCGACGGUUGCCAACAUCCCGCAAAACGAUCGACGGAAGGAAAACGGUGUCCGGUUUUAAAAUAUAAAGAUUUCAUUACAGCUCUUUCGUAGAAGAGCGCACUUCAAUGACGCCUAGGAUACGGCUAAACAUGCGCAGCACCAGUCCGUGACGUCAUUUCCAGACAGGCGCCGGCUGAACACGCGCAGCACCAGUCGAGGAUAUCCUAGCGCAGAGGGUAGAAGGAAGAACGAGAGGAAGGGUAAUAGAAAGCAACCGCAGCAUUUGGAAGGAGUGAAGCAUCCUGCCGUAUGCAGAGAGUGAGUGUGCCAAAACGCACGUGGAAAGAGCAACACCAAUAAAUAGCAUGCGAAAGUGUGCAUAAAGCAAAAAGAAAAAGCGUCACUACUACAACCAGCAAUCCGAAAAUAUAAGGGGAGGGAUAAAUACAAAUGUAUGCGUAAGCAGGACCAGCAAUCCAAGCAUUUGAAUGUGUGCGUCGGUUUGUGCCGUGCUGAAAGUUUUUACUUUAGCUGCUGCUAGUGUAAAAACUUAAGGAAAGCUUAAAGUAAAAAUUUUUUACACGGGGCGCCUUCGGAAAUUGUUGGCUGGGUGUCUGGAAAUGACGUCACGGACUGGUGCUGCGCAUGUUUAGCCGUAUCCUAGGCGUCCUUGAAGUGCGCUCUUCUACGAAAGAGCUGUGAUGAAA